rnacentral:rRNA from 1 species
GACGAACGCUGGCGGCGUGCCUAACACAUGCAAGUCGAACGGAAAGGCCCUGCUUUUGUGGGGUGCUCGUGUGGCGAACGGGUGAGUAACACGUGUGUAUCCUGUCCUUGACUUUGGGAUAACUUCUGGAAACUGGGGCUCAUACCGCAUAGGAGCUUUUGCUGCAUGGUGGGGGUUGGAAAGUUUCGGCGGUUGGGGAUGGACUCGCGGCUUAUCAGCUUGUUUGUGGGGUAGUGGCUUACCAAGGCUUUGACGGGUAGCCGGCCUGAGAGGGUGACCGGCCACAUUGGGACUGAGAUACGGCCCAGACUCCUACGGGAGGCAGCAGUGGGGAAUAUUGCACAAUGGGCGGAAGCCUGAUGCAGCAACGCCGCGUGCGGGAUGACGGCCUUCGGGUUGUAAACCGCUUUCGCCUGUGACGAAGCGUGAGUGACGGUAAUGGGUAAAGAAGCACCGGCUAACUACGUG